UGCCAUGCCUUUCCACAGCUUUCUUGAACUUCUCUUGUGCCUCACUCACUUUCAUUACUGGAGAGAUAUGCAUCAUCAGUGGAAGCUUAUAGGGAGAGGAGUGCAAGAAGAGGGUCAAGAAAGCUGUGGGAAGAAAUGGCAU
rnacentral:pre_miRNA from 1 species